CAGGAUGAACGCUGGCGGUAUGCUUAACACAUGCAAGUCGAACGGGAUGCUUAGGCAUCUAGUGGCGGACGGGUGAGUAACGCGUGAGAAUCUGGCUCCAGGUCGGGGAUAACAGUUGGAAACGACUGCUAAUACCGGAUGUGCCGAGAGGUGAAAGAUUUAUUGCCUGGAGAUGAGCUCGCGUCUGAUUAGCUAGUUGGUGGUGUAAGGGACCACCAAGGCGUCGAUCAGUAGCUGGUCUGAGAGGAUGAUCAGCCACACUGGGACUGAGACACGGCCCAGACUCCUACGGGAGGCAGCAGUGGGGAAUUUUCCGCAAUGGGCGAAAGCCUGACGGAGCAAUACCGCGUGAGGGAGGAAGGCUCUUGGGUCGUAAACCUCUUUUCUCAAGGAAGAAGAAAGUGACGGUACUUGAGGAAUAAGCAUCGGCUAACUCCGUGCCAGCAGCCGCGGUAAUACGGAGGAUGCAAGCGUUAUCCGGAAUGAUUGGGCGUAAAGGGUCUGCAGGUGGAACUGAAAGUCUGCUGUUAAAGAGUUUGGCUUAACCAAAUAAAAGCGGUGGAAACUACAGAACUAGAGUGCGGUAGGGGCAAAAGGAAUUCCUGGUGUAGCGGUGAAAUGCGUAGAUAUCAGGAAGAACACCGGUGGCGAAAGCGUUUUGCUAGACCGUAACUGACACUGAGGGACGAAAGCUAGGGGAGCGAAUGGGAUUAGAUACCCCAGUAGUCCUAGCCGUAAACGAUGGAUACUAGGCGUGGCUUGUAUCGACCCGAGCCGUGCCGGAGCUAACGCGUUAAGUAUCCCGCCUGGGGAGUACGCACGCAAGUGUGAAACUCAAAGGAAUUGACGGGGGCCCGCACAAGCGGUGGAGUAUGUGGUUUAAUUCGAUGCAACGCGAAGAACCUUACCAAGACUUGACAUCCUGCGAAUCCUGGUGAAAGCUGGGAGUGCCUUAGGGAGCGCAGAGACAGGUGGUGCAUGGCUGUCGUCAGCUCGUGUCGUGAGAUGUUGGGUUAAGUCCCGCAACGAGCGCAACCCUCGUUUUUAGUUGCCAGCAUUAAGUUGGGCACUCUAGAGAGACUGCCGGUGACAAACCGGAGGAAGGUGAGGAUGACGUCAAGUCAGCAUGCCCCUUACGUCUUGGGCUACACACGUACUACAAUGCUACGGACAGAGGGCAGCGAGCCAGGGAUGGCAAGCGAAUCCAGAAACCGUAGCUCAGUUCAGAUCGAAGGCUGCAACUCGCCUUCGUGAAGGAGGAAUCGCUAGUAAUUGCAGGUCAGCAUACUGCAGUGAAUUCGUUCCCGGGCCUUGUACACACCGCCCGUCACACCAUGGAAGUUGGUCACGCCCGAAGUCAUUACCCCAACCGAAAGGAGGGGGAUGCCUAAGGUAGGACUGGUGACUGGGGUGAAGUCGUAACAAGGUAGCCGUA
rnacentral:rRNA from 1 species